AACGAACGCUGGCGGCAUGCCUAACACAUGCAAGUCGAACGAGACCUUCGGGUCUAGUGGCGCACGGGUGCGUAACACGUGGGAAUCUGCCCUUGGGUUCGGAAUAACAGUUGGAAACGACUGCUAAUACCGGAUGAUGACGUAAGUCCAAAGAUUUAUCGCCCAAGGAUGAGCCCGCGUCGGAUUAGCUAGUUGGUGGGUAAAGGCCUACCAAGGCGACGAUCCGUAGCUGGUCNGAGAGGAUGAUCA
rnacentral:rRNA from 1 species